GACGUAGGGCGCGAGCGUUGUCCGGAUUUAUUGGGCGUAAAGAGCUCGUAGGCGGCUUGUCGCGUCGUUCGUGAAAACCCGGGGCUCAACUCCGGGCUUGCGGGCGAUACGGGCAGGCUAGAGUUCGGUAGGGGAGACUGGAAUUCCUGGUGUAGCGGUGAAAUGCGCAGAUAUCAGGAGGAACACCGGUGGCGAAGGCGGGUCUCUGGGCCGUAACUGACGCUGAGGAGCGAAAGCGUGGGGAGCGAACAGG
rnacentral:rRNA from 1 species